CGGGCAAACAUCGCAGAGAGAAAGAAGAAGUGCUGAUCAACAACCUGGUUGGUUUCGCCAUUUGUUAUCCACAUUCAAACUGCCAGCCCUACCCGGACAGCGUGUGGAUGUUUGGCUGGCUGUGCGUG
rnacentral:ribozyme from 1 species